CAGUCGCCACGGUAAUACGAAGGGGGCUAGCGUUGCUCGGAAUGAUUGGGCGUAAAGGGCGCGUAGGCGGCGGCCAAAGUCAGGCGUGAAAUUCCCGGGCUCAACCUGGGGGCUGCGUUUGAUACUUGGUUGCUUGAGUGGGGAAGAGGGUCGUGGAAUUCCCAGUGUAGAGGUGAAAUUCGUAGAUAUUGGGAAGAACACCGGUGGCGAAGGCGGCGACCUGGUCCUUGACUGACGCUGAGGCGCGAAAGCGUGGGGAGCAAACAGGAUUAGAUACCCCGGUAGUCCCUGUCUUUUAUAC
rnacentral:rRNA from 1 species